UACGGAAGGCAGCAGUAGGGAAUAUUGGGCAAUGGGCGAGAGCCUGACCCAGCCAUGCCGCGUGCAGGAAGAAGGCUUUCUGAGUCGUAAACUGCUUUUGACAGGGAAGAAUAAGGACUACGUGUAGUCUGAUGACGGUACCUGCAGAAUAAGCACCGGCUAACUCCGUGCCAGCAGCCGCGGUAAUACGGAGGGUGCGAGCGUUGUCCGGAUUUAUUGGGUUUUAAAGGGUGCGUAGGCGGCCGUUUAAGUCUGGGGUGAAAGCCCGCUGCUCAACAGCGGAACUGCCCUGGAUACUGGAUGGCUUGAGUACAGACGAGGUUGGCGGAAUGGACAGAGUAGCGGUGAAAUGCAUAGAUACUGUCCAGAACCCGAUUGCGAAGGCAGCUGACUAGGCUGUUACUGACGCUGAGGCACGAAAGCGUGGGAGCGAACAGGAAUUAGAUACC
rnacentral:rRNA from 1 species